rnacentral:rRNA from 1 species
UACGUAGGGUGCGAGCGUUGUCCGGAAUUACUGGGCGUAAAGAGCUCGUAGGUGGUUUGUCGCGUUGUUCGUGAAAACCGGGGGCUUAACCCUGAGCUUGCGGUCGAUACGGGCAUGACUGGAGUUCGGCAGGGGAGACUGGAAUUCCUGGUGUAGCGGUGAAAUGCGCAGAUAUCAGGAGGAACACCGGUGGCGAAGGCGGGUCUCUGGGCCGAUACUGACGCUGAGGAGCGAAAGCGUGGGGAGCGAACAGG